rnacentral:lncRNA from 1 species
UUGAGUUACUUGCUUAAAAACCUUCUUAUUCUUGGAGCUUAGAGUCACAAAUGUCACUCCUCUAAUGGCUUACAAACACCAACUAGCAAGAAGAUGAUUUGAAAGAGGUAUGGAAGAGGGAAAUCGGCUCUAGGGUUACUCCAAUAACAAGGUGGUCGAUUUCCACAACCCCAAGGGCCUAUUUAUACUGUGAGCUCCUAGGGUUUCACCCUAAAACCCUAAUUGGAUAACUUAGCCUCAAAGCAAUCCAAAGAUCCUUCUAGAUAAUGCCUUGGACGAUUUCUAGGUGAUCCAUAUCCCUAAAAUCGUCUACCCCAUAUCCAUAAGGAUUCUUAGCUCAAAAUACAACUAUCACACAUUUGACAGUUUAUGCCCCUUUAUUCAAUUAAUCUCUUUAAGUCACCAAAUUAAUUCCGAAUUAGUUUAUGACUUAUAUUAAUCAAAUAAUAUUAUUAUUCCUUUAACAUAUUAUUCUUAUAAUACAUUAAUAAUAAUAUCUCUUCUCUCUAUAUAAAUCACCCUGUCAAGUUGCUAUGGUGAAGGCAACCCAAAAGCACCAUGCACAAUCGGGUCAAGUACUUACCAAAUAUAGUUACAGCCUUAGACACUAAUCCAACAGUCUCCCACUUGGAUAAUUCUAGUAAUUAUAAACGCAAACACAAUCCGAUUAGCAAUCGUAGCUCUCAAAGACGUUGUCAAUUAUGAUCUUAUCAGUAACCUGUCCUUUAGAUAAGGGAUCGUACAGUCCUCUGUUUUGAUAUCGUGCAGACGAUUUCAUGAAACAUUGUCACAUUUAUUGUCCAACAACUAUUUUCUUGAUCUCAGAUUUAUUCGAGAUAGAACUUAAUUGAACACAUCAAUUCAGUCCUGACCGGGCCCGACACAUAAGUCAAAUCAAAUCAUCGAGCGGCUGUGAUAUCGCUUUUACCCUCUUAGGAUAAAAGUAACAGAUAAACUUCGACUUAUAUGCAUUUACUUAUCGACUAAUCAACUAUACACAACAAUGCAUUUUAUGACAUCAAUUUACUAAUGCGGUUUCACAAUAUCAAUGUACAACCAAUCAGUAAAUAAUAAACCAUAUAUCUAGGUUUUAAGACCAUAUGAUAUUAUCGUCUUGCGAUCACUCCAAAGUGAUUCCAGCAAGUGCGGGUUUAUUCCAAUGCUCAAAACUUGUUCAUAAGCACUCAUGAACUUUGCAGCAAACCUUUGCUAUGUCUAAUACCAUUUAGACAAUCUACACACCAAUUCAUGACAAUCUUCAUUCAUAUCUACUUCCAACAUAUGAAAGAUUGUGAAAUUUUUAAAUAAUUACAUUAUUCUUAACAAACUCAAUUAUUCUGGAAGUCAAAACAUGCAAAGUGAAACAAUAGCUAAACAAUUAACAUAAGACAGUAACUUUACUUAUAAAUAAUACUCCUUUAUUUAAUCAUCAAAUGUCAAUUACAUUUAUGUAUUACAUGUUUCUAAAACUAUCUAAUCUAAACUAAUAUCAUCCUUCAUCCCAAUACUCCUAGCAUGCUGCAAGUGCUUAACCUUGCUCAGUCCCUUCGUAAGCAGAUCUGCUGGGUUAUCUUCUGAUGAUAUCCUCUUAACCACGAGGUGUCCUUCUUCUACUCGAUGUCUAAUAAAGUGAUAUUUUCUAUCGAUAUGCCGAGAUCUACCAUGAUCCCUCGGUUCCUUGGUCAAGGCAACUGCUCAUUCAUUAUCACAGAAAAUUUACAUGGGCUCCUUUAUAGCAGGCACAACUCCAAGAUCACCAAUGAAGUUCUUCAACCAUAUUGCCUCCUUUGACGCUUCGCUCACUGCUAUAUACUCCGAUUCGCACGUUGAAUUAGCUAUAGUUUCCUGCUUGGAACUUUUCAAGUUACUGCUCCUCCAUUAAGGGUAAAGACCCAUCCCGACUGUGAACGGUAGUUGUCCCUGUCGGUAUGGAAACUGGCGUCACUAUACCCUCGCACCUUUAAGUCAUCACUCCCUCCGAGGACUAGAAACCAUUCCUUGGUCCUCCGAAGGUACUUAAGGAUGUUCUUGACCGCAAUCCAAUGCGCUCUUCCAGGAUUCCCUUGAUAUCUACUGACCAUGCUCAAAGCAAAGGCCACAUCAGGUCGAGUACAAGUCAUAGCAUACAUGAUUGAGCCAACUGCGGAAGCGUAAGGUACUCGGCUCAUCUCAGCUAUCUCGGCUUCGGUACUCGGACUUUGAGUCUUACUCAACUUGGUAUUACUUUGUAUCGGUAGUUCUCCCUUCUUCGAGUUCUCCAUACUAAAACGUUUUAGUACCUUAUCUAAGUAAGUAUUCUGACUAAGUCCUAUUAGUCUCUUACUUCUUUCUCUCACUAUCCUUAUUCCCAAAAUAUAGGAAGCCUCUCCGAGGUCCUUCAUAGCGAAGCACUUCCCGAGCCAGGACUUAACCUCCUGCAGUGUCGGGAUGUCGUUUCCUAUGAGUAGUAUGUCAUCGACAUACAAAACGAGGAAGCUAACUAUACUCCCACUGGCUUUGACAUAUACACAUGAUUCAUCUUCGCUUCGUACAAAUCCAAACUCUUUGACUUUCUCAUCAAAGCAAAGAUUCCAUCUGCGAGAUGCUUGCUUAAGUCCAUAAAUGGACUUCUCAAGCUUACACACUCUAUUCGGAUGCUUCGGAUCCACAAACCCCUCUGGCUGAGCCAUGUAAACAUCCUCAGCCAACUUCCCAUUAAGGAAAGCGGUCUUGACAUCCAUUUGCCAAAUCUCAUAAUCAUGAAAUGCGGCAAUAGCUAGCAUCACUCUAAUAGAUUUUAUCUUCGCAACUGGUGAGAAGGUCUCAUCAUAGUCAACUCCGGGAGUUUGAGUAAAGCCCUUCGCAACCAAUCGCGCUUUAUAUGUGUGUACGUUUCCAUCCACGUCGGUCUUCUUCUUGAAGAUCCAUUUGCACCCAACGGUCUUACGUCCGGGCACAUUAUCAACCAAAUUCCAAACUUGGUUAUCAUACAUGGAUUGGAUCUCGCUAUCCAUUGCCUCUUUCCAUUUCGCAGACUCCGGGCCUGCCAUGGCUUCCUUAUAGCGAUUAGGUUCAUCUAGAUUUAUUAGUGUACCAUCACUAAUAUAAGUGUCCCCUUCAGUAGUAAUAUGAAAACCAUAAAACUGGGGUUGAACUCUAACUCUUUCGGAACGUCUAAGAGGUAAUGACUCGUCAAUUGGUUCAACCGGAGUUUCCUCCUCGGGCUGAGCGCCAGCGGUAGAGGUUCCUUUAUCACUCGACUCUUGAAUCUCUUCAUGAUUGAUAUGCCUCCCACUGUCUCCUUGGUUUAUGAGUUCGCGUUCUCGGAAAACCCCUCUUCUUGCCACAAAGACAACAUUGUCACUCGGUCUAUAGAAGAGAUAUCCAAAGGAUUUCUGCGGGUAGCUGAUGAAANCACUACGAGGUUCCAGCUUGUCAUGAGUUUCUCGUCUUAUGAAAACUUCACAACCCCAAACCUUGAUAUGUGCCAAUGAGGGAGCUUUCCCUGUCCACAUCUCGUAAGGUGUUUUGGCAACCUUCUUUGUAGGGACUCUGUUAAGGAUAUGGGCAGCAGUCUCUAAGGCAUACCCCCAAAAUGAGAUAGGUAGUGAAGCACGACUCAUCAUAUAAUGAACCAUUUCUAACAAGGCUCAAUUGCGCCUUUCUGCCACACCAUUUAACAACGGUGUCCUAGGUGGCGUCAAUUACGAAACUAUUCCGCAUUCCUUGAGAUAGUCGUGGAAUUCAAGACUUAGGUACUCUCCUCCUCGAUCGGAUCGAAGCAUCUUGAUUUUCCUGCCCAAUUGAUUCUCCACUUCAUUCUUGAACUCUUUGAACUUUUCAAACGUUUCAGACUUGUGCUUGAUUAAGUAAAUAUACCCAUAUCUACUAUAAUCAUCGGUGAAAGUCACGUAGAAGCGGUUUCCAUCCUUUGUGGUGGAUCUAAAGGGCCCACAUACAUCGGUAUGUAUGAGAUCCAAUAAACCCUCACCCCUCUCACAAGUGCCAGUGAAGGGUGACUUGGUCAUCUUUCCAAGUAAACAAGAUUCGCACGUGUCAUCUUCCCUAAGGUCGAAUGACUCCAACACUCCAUCCUUUUGGAGUUGGGCUAUGCGUUUCUUGUUGACAUGUCCAAGACGACAAUGCCACAAAGAUGCUUUAUCCAUACUAUUGGAAGAAUCCAUACACAACACAUCAUUUCCUAGGUUAUCUACAACCAUAACAGUUUCAUAAAUUCCAUUACAAGGCAUUGCUUCAAAGUAUAAAACACCAUUUAGAUAAGCAUAAAUAGAACCAUUCAUAUUAUUAAACGAAUAUCUAAAUCCUUGUCUAAACAAACCAUGAAAUGAAAUGAUGUUUCUUGCCAUAUCUGGCGAGUAGCAACAAUUAUUUAAAUCUAAACCUAAUCCAUUACUAAGCACUAAAGAAUACACUCCAAUCUUGGUGACAGGCGACGAUCUUCUGUUUCCCAUGAUUAGAUUUAUUCUUCCUUGCUCCACAUCUCUAUCUCUUCUUAGUCCCUGCAAAUCAGAACAAAUGUGGUAACCACAUCCUGUAUCAAGAACCCAAGAAAUAGUGUGAGAUGAAUUAUUAGAUUUAAUUGUGUAUAUACCUGCAAAAGAUGGCUUGAUCUUUCCAUCCUUGAUGGCUUGCAGAUAUUCCGGGCAGCUUCUCUUCCAAUGCCCUAUUUUGUGGCAAUGAUGGCACUCUGCCUCCUUCGGGUUAGGGUUGGGCUUAGCAGGAUCAACCUUGGUCCCACUAGAAGAGGAACCAUCUUGGGACUUUCCCUUGCGGUGGCUCUUUGACGGAGCCUUCCUCUUCUUGCCCCUUCCCUGCCCUAUAGCCAAAACAGGAGCAACGGUUGGUGCGGGAGUUGGUGCAACAGACUUGUCCUUUAGGUUGCUCUCAGCAGUCCUUAGGAGUCCUUGGAGUUUGCUUAGGGUGACCUCUUCCUUGUUCAUGUGGUAGGUCAUCCUAAAUUGGUUGUAGCAUGAAGGCAAGGAGUGAAGAACAAUGUCGAUGGCCAAAUCCUCCCCAAAGUUAACAUUUAACUUGCGAAGACGAUCAACAUAUCUUUGCAUCUUUUGCAAGUGCACGGUUAAUGAUUCUCCACUUCCCAUCUUGGCGGUCAUCAUGUUGGUGAUGAUCUCGUAGCGCUCUUGCCUCGUGCUUUGGUGGUACCUCUCCAUCAAGUCUUGAUGCAUUUCAUAGGGAUACAUGUCCUCAUAAGACUUUUGGAAUUCUUGGUUCAUAGUGGCUAUCAUGAUGCAAUGGACUUUCGUUGCAUCACGUUCGUGUGUCUCAAAGACAGCCAUCUCUUUGGGAUUAGCGAUUUCCGGGUUGACCUUCUCGAGCUUUUCGUCGAGGACAUACUCUUUGUCCUCGUAGCGUGCAAUGGUGCGAAUGUAUCUUAUCCAUUCGCUAAAGUUCGUACCAUCGAAGGUCACCUUUUGGCAAAGACUCAUUAACGUGAAUGAGUUAGCAACAGCGUUGUUUGCGUUUGACAUCUACAAAUAGAAAGGACAAAGUUUGAUUAGAAUUGAGUCCCUAAUUAAACACCCAAAAUGAAAAAUUAGGUCUAGGACCCAACAACAUUAUUUACAUAUUAGAAAAGGGAUGCCGUAAUCCAACACACAAAUAAUUUGGAGGUAAGUGAAUGACGAUUCACUAAUUCUUCACCUUGAAAACAUAACCUUAAGUUUUAAACGCAUUGAGAAUUCCUAGAUUUUCUUUGAGAUUCAUUGAACCUUUCAAUGUCAUGCUUAAAUCUCGAUAUGCCCCUCUCGUUUGUGACUGGGAUGCCGAGGAUCACAAAGUGGGUGUGAAUAACCAUGAAAAUCUACAUGGUGCCUUCAUUGUUGCAAUCAUCCAUUCGAUGUGCCGGUAAACCACACAUGCUCCAUCGGACUAUGAUAAACAGUGAAUCACCCUUUUCCACCUUUGCUUAGAACCAAUUAGUGUCCCGGUAAACCACUCACGCUCCACUAACUUCUUAGCAAGGGUGAAAAGUGCAAUUUCAUGGGAUUGCAUCAAUUCACUUUUUCCUAAAGUAACUAGGAUUGGCAAUUUGAAAAAUUUAGUUUACUUUAUAGAUUCAUUAUACUUAUUAAUGAGGAGAGAGAGUUGCCCUAUCCUACCCGUUCGGCUAACGACCCUCCACCAGUCAAGCAAGCGGUGGGUGUGAGUGUACACCUAUUAAGCGCCAUUUUAUAGGCAACAACCUUAUACCGACCUUAUAGACCGACUUUGUGAAUGAGGCCUACUAACGAUAAGCCUAGCAUUUUAAUUUUACUUAUAUAUAUUAAGCUUUUAAUAAUAUAAUAGUAUAGGGUUGAAUUUUAAACUUGUAAAACUCUAGGGGUUGAAAUUUAAAUUCUUCUAAAUUAAACUAUUAAUCACAAAUUUCAAAUUUCAAAACUUCGGGAUAAAUAUUGAACUUUUCAAAACAAUAGGGAUCAAAUAACAAAUAAUUCAAAUUAAACAAUUAAUUUCAUAAUUAUCUAUAUUUGAUCUAAUCCAAUUUUAGUCAUUAGAUAAUUACCAAAUAAUCUUAAAUAGUCCAUAUUUAUCAUAUAAAUAAUCAAUAUUCAAAAUAUUUGAAAUUAUCUAUUGUUAUGUCAAGGAUAAUCAUUAAAUUCGGUUAAAAUUCGGAUUUUUACAUAAUAAAACGAUUUAGGUAUCAAUCCAAGACAAAACAGCAAUAAAAUCCCGAAUUAUCCUCUGUCUGACGCUGGGACUCGCCGAGUCAAGCUUUGGACUCGCCGAGUAGGGCCAACUCGCCGAGUCCAGACACCGACUCGCCGAGUUGGGUUGGACAGAGGUGAAUAAAAACGAUUUUCAGCAAGCAAAACAGUUAAGCAUCACAUUCAAUUGAAACCAAUCAUGGCUCUGAUACCACUGAUGGGUUUUAGACAUAAGAACUUUCCUAUGUGCACAUACAAACCCUAAUGCUUGGAUCUAGGUUUCUCUAAUUGAACAUGCAAUAUAUCCAAGACUUUCAUAGCUAGAUCUAAUGUAAACUAACAAUAAGACAUAUGAAAAACAGAUCUAGAAUAAUACCUUGAGUUACUUGCUUGAAAACCUUCUUAUUCUUGGAGCUUAGAGUCACAAAUGUCACUCCUCUAAUGGCUUACAAACACCGACUAGCAAGAAGAUGAUUUGAGAGAGGUAUGGAAGAGGGAAAUCGGCUCUAGGGUGACUCCAAUAACAAGGUGGUCGAUUUCCACAACCCCAAGGGCCUAUUUAUACUGUGAGCUCCUAGGGUUUCACCCUAAAACCCUAAUUGGAUA